rnacentral:rRNA from 1 species
AGUCGAGCGAACAGACGAGGAGCUUGCUCCUCUGACGUUAGCGGCGGACGGGUGAGUAACACGUGGAUAACCUACCUAUAAGACUGGGACAACUUCGGGAAACCGGAGCUAAUACCGGAUAAUAUAUUGAACCGCAUGGUUCAAUAGUGAAAGACGGUUUUGCUGUCACUUAUAGAUGGAUCCGCGCCGCAUUAGCUAGUUGGUAAGGUAACGGCUUACCAAGGCAACGAUGCGUAGCCGACCUGAGAGGGUGAUCAGCCACACUGGAACUGAGACACGGUCCAGACUCCUACGGGAGGCAGCAGUAGGGAAUCUUCCGCAAUGGGCGAAAGCCUGACGGAGCAACGCCGCGUGAGUGAUGAAGGUCUUCGGAUCGUAAAACUCUGUUAUUAGGGAAGAACAAAUGUGUAAGUAACUAUGCACGCCUUGACGGUACCUAAUCAGAAAGCCACGGCUAACUACGUGCCAGCAGCCGCGGUAAUACGUAGGUGGCAAGCGUUAUCCGGAAUUAUUGGGCGUAAAGCGCGCGUAGGCGGUUUUUUAAGUCUGAUGUGAAAGCCCACGGCUCAACCGUGGAGGGUCAUUGGAAACUGGAAAACUUGAGUGCAGAAGAGGAAAGUGGAAUUCCAUGUGUAGCGGUGAAAUGCGCAGAGAUAUGGAGGAACACCAGUGGCGAAGGCGACUUUCUGGUCUGUAACUGACGCUGAUGUGCGAAAGCGUGG